rnacentral:lncRNA from 1 species
CUGUGGGUCUUUUGACUUUGGUUUCUACCUAUAAAUGAUAAGAAGGGAAGCCCAUGCUGGUUCAGAGGUAAAGACUCCACCUGCCAAAGCAGGAGGCAAGACGUAGGUUUGAUCUCUGGGUUGGAAAGAUCCCCUGGAGGAAGAUCCCCUGGAGAAAGAUCCCCUGGAGGAAGAAAUGGCAAUCCACUUCGUACUUUGCCUGGAAAAUUCCACAGACAGAAGAGCCUGGCAGGCUACAGUCCAAAGAGUUGGACACAACUUAGUGACUGAACAGCAGCAAAAAUAAAUAAUGAAAACACACUGCACAUACCAUUGAAGAGGGAAAUCAUCCUGAGCAAAGGGAUUGCAAUGCUGCCAAUCCUCUGCUAGUGGUCUCACCGCCAACGCUUGGCAACAUGGCUUCUGAAAAUCAGCACCAGAGGACUGGGAUAAACACCCUCAGCUACUACUCCCUGGUUUCAAAGCCCACUGAGUCAAGCCACUAUGCAGUAGUCAUAUAUGGAUGUGAGAGUUGGACUGUGAAGAAGGCUGAGCGCCGAAGAAUUGACGCUUUUGAACUGUGGUGUUGGAGAAGACUCUUGAGAGUCCCUUGGACUGCAAGGAGAUCCAACCAGCCCAUUCUGAAGGAGAUCAGCCCUGGGAUUUCUUUGGAGGGAAUGAUGCUAAAGCUGAAACUCCCGUACUUUGGCCACCUCAUGUGAAGAGUUGACUCGUUGGAAAAGACUUUGAUGCUGGGAGGGAUUGGGGGCAGGAGGAGAAGGGGACGACAGAGGAUGAGGUGGCUGGAUGGCGUCACUGACUCGAUGGACAUGAAUCUGAGUGAACUCCAGGAGUUGGUGAUGGACAGGGAGGCCUGGCGUGCUGCGGUUCAUGGGGUCGCAAAGAGUUGGACACGACUGAGCGACUGAACUGAACUGAACUGAUGCUGAAAUAUUCAGUUUCAUAGUUCAUUUACACGGGAUUUUCUAUGCAUAUACUCACAUUGUUACAAAUGACUUUGCAAAGUUUGCCUCUUUCUUUCCAGUUGUUAGCCUCUAUUUCAUUUCUUUGACAAGCAGUGAGAAGGAUCCUUAUCCUUUUCAUAUCAAAUUAAAAAGAACAUUUCUAACACAACACUUCUCCACUUACAUUCACAUGACAUUUGCUUCAGAUGAUAGGAAUAAUAAGGACGUUUCCAAUCAUUUUUAGUUUUCUAAGACUAUAUCACGGAUAGGUAUUGAUUCAUCACAGAUGCUUCUUCUAUAUCACUUCAGAUAAUAUAUAGCGUAUACUAAUUUAUGUUAUAAAUAUAAACUAUAUAUAUUUAAUUUUUACACAAUAUAUAUUUUACACAUUCCCUUUAAUCUGUUAAUAUCAUAUAUAAGUAUGUGCUGAAAUAGAGUUAUCUGUAUGUUCUUGGAGAAACCCUAACAUAUACUGCUGGAUGGAUUUUUGGCUAGUACUUUAUUUAGUAUGUUAAUAUUCAUGCUCAUUAAUGAAAUUGGUCUGUAUACUUUUUGCACUGUAAAAUAUCACAGUUUGGGCAUUGUAUUAGUUUCCUAUUGCUGCUAUAACAAACAAC